UACGAAGGGGGCUAGCGUUGCUCGGAAUCACUGGGCGUAAAGCGCACGUAGGCGGCUUUUUAGGUCAGGGGUGAAAUCCUGGAGCUCAACUCCAGAACUGCCUUUGAUACUGAGAAGCUUGAGUCCGGGAGAGGUGAGUGGAACUGCGAGUGUAGAGAUGAAAUUCGUAGAUAUUCGCAAGAACACCAGUGGCGAAGGCGGCUCACUGGCCCGGUACUGACGCUGAGGUGCGAAAGCGUGGGGAGCAAACAGG
rnacentral:rRNA from 1 species